UAGGGAAUCUUCGGCAAUGGGGGGAAACCCUGAUGCAGCGACGCCGCGUGAUUUAGAAGGCCUUCGGGUUGUAAAAAUCUUUUGUAUAGGAAGAAAAUGACAGUACUAUACGAAUAAGGACCGGCUAAUUACGUGCCAGCAGCCGCGGUAAUACGUAAGGUCCGAGCGUUGUCCGGAAUCAUUGGGCGUAAAGGGUACGUAGGCGGGUAAGCAAGUUAGAAGUGAAAUCCUAUAGCUCAACUAUAGUAAGCUUUUAAAACUGCUCAUCUUGAGGUAUGGAAGGGAAAGUGGAAUUCCUAGUGUAGCGGUGAAAUGCGCAGAUAUUAGGAGGAGUACCGGUGGCGAAGGCGACUUUCUGGCCAUAACCUGACGCUGAGGUACGAAAGCGUGGGUAGCAAACAGG
rnacentral:rRNA from 1 species